rnacentral:rRNA from 1 species
GACGAACGCUGGCGGCGUGCUUAACACAUGCAAGUCGAACGGAAAGGCCCUGCUUUUGUGGGGUGCUCGAGUGGCGAACGGGUGAGUAACACGUGAGUAACCUGCCCUUGACUUUGGGAUAACUUCAGGAAACUGGGGCUAAUACCGGAUAGGAGCUCCUGCUGCAUGGUGGGGGUUGGAAAGUUUCGGCGGUUGGGGAUGGACUCGCGGCUUAUCAGCUUGUUGGUGGGGUAGUGGCCUACCAAGGCUUUGACGGGUAGCCGGCCUGAGAGGGUGACCGGCCACAUUGGGACUGAGAUACGGCCCAGACUCCUACGGGAGGCAGCAGUGGGGAAUAUUGCAAAAUGGGCGGAAGCCUGAUGCAGCAACGCCGCGUGCGGGAUGACGGCCUUCGGGCUGUAAACCGCUUUCGCCUGUGACGAAGCGUGAGUGACGGUAAUGGGUAAAGAAGCACCGGCUAACUACGUG